CGAACGCUAGCGGGAUGCCUCAAACAUGCAAGUCGAACGAGAAAGGUCCUUCGGGAACAAGUAAAGUGGCGCACGGGUGCGUAACACGUAGCUAACGUACCUCCUUGCUGGGGAUAACUCCGGGAAACCGGAGCUAAUACCGAAUGAUCUGAUACGAUCUGCGGAUUGUAUUGGUAAAGCCUUAGGGCGCGAGGAGAUCGGGCUGCGGUCCAUUAGCUUGAUGGUAGGGUAACGGCCUACCAUGGCGACGAUGGAUAGCUGGUCUGAGAGGAUGAUCAGCCACACUGGAACUGACACACGGUCCAGACUCCCACGGGAGGCAGCAGUUGGGAAUAUUGGACAAUGGGGGAGACCCUGAUCCAGCAAUCCCGCGUGAGUGAUGAAGGCUCUCGGGUCGUAAAGCUCUUUCAGCAGGGAAGAAGGGAAACUUGACGGUACCUGCAGAAGAAGCACCGGCUAACUCC
rnacentral:rRNA from 1 species